GACGAACGCUGGCGGCGUGCUUAACACAUGCAAGUCGAACGGAAAGGCCCUGCUUUUGUGGGGUGCUCGAGUGGCGAACGGGUGUGUAACACGUGAGUAACCUGCCCUUGACUUUGUGAUAACUUCAGGAAACUGGGUCUAAUACCCGAUAGGAUCUCCUGCUGCAUGGUGGGGGUUGGUAAGUUUCGGCGGUUGGGGAUGGACUCGCGGCUUAUCAGCUUUUUUGUUGGGUAGUGGCUUACCAAGGCUUUGACGGGUAGCCGGCCUGAGAGGGUGACCGGCAACAUUGGGACUGAGAUACGGCCCAGACUCCUACGGGAGGCAGCAGUGGGGAAUAUUGCACAAUGGGCGGAAGCCUGAUGCAGAAAAGCCGCGUGCGGGAUGAAGGCCUUCGGGUUGUAAAACGCUUUAGACUGUGACGAAGCGAGAGUGACGGUAAUGGGUAAAGAAGCACCGGCUAACUACGUG
rnacentral:rRNA from 1 species